rnacentral:sRNA from 1 species
AUUCGUUUCUUUGUGCUCUGUGUUUCCUUGUGUGUGUGUGUGUGUGUGUGUGUGUGUGCGUACGAACGUAGUCCUUACUGCUGCAGCCGCUGUCGGUUUCGUUUUAUGCUUUCUUGUGUCUGUUCUAAUUCAAAGGAUUUAAACGUGACAACCUUAAAACAUCGACUAAAGUAAAUGUAUUCAAGUGGAUGGGAGAGGGGAUGGAAAUUUGUAUUCGUAAAGGAUAUACAAUAUCCGGAUAAAAAUCCGUUUUUCCAAUUUCUGUUAUAAUAAAAAGUUUUUGGUAUUCGGAAUGUUUACUAAUUUCACUAAAGUACUCGAUUGAUUAGAGUAAAUAUCGAAUAUCCUGUUUUCAUUUUUCUUUCGUUGUUUCUACCCCUUACAAAAAAUAAUAUUCAAUGUGCUCAAUUUUUUGUUUUUUUUCAACGUUUACAUGGCAACGUAACCUAACAACCAAACGAUAACAACAACAUAUAGAACGAAUGAAAAAAGCCUAUUGUUAAUAUAUCAAUAUUGAAACUUUAUUGUAUAUACCUACCAAAACACUGACACAUACAAACCAACCUAUACUCAAAAAAAAGGAUAACCAAAGGAUAAUGACCUAAAAUAAUGUUUGCUGAUAAAUCGGGACCGAUUUGGAUGAUACUCUUGUAUACAUAGUGCAACCAAUUAAAGAUUUAACAAAAAACUAUUUUCAAGGCGAGUAAAAGAACGAAAUAUUUAAGAGA